GAAAGGGUUCCAAAAGGGUUCUUAGGCUGUAACCAUUGGAGAACCCGUUUUGGUUCGAGGUAGAACCUUUUGGGUUCCAGGUAGAACCCCUUGGGUUCCAUGUAGGACUCUCUGUGGAAAGGGUUCUACAUGGAAUCCAAAAGGAUUCUACCUGGAACCAAAAAGGAUUCUUCAAUGGGUUCUGCUAUGGGGACAGUCAAAUGACCCUUUUAGAUUCUAGAUUGCACCUUUUUUUCUAAGACUGUAGUGGUGGUGGUAACUAAUAAUAAUUCAAUUACCCUCAUUAGUGAACGUUCUAGAACAAGUGGAUUCCAACCCACAUAAUACACACAUGUCACUUUUACUCUUCACCCAAACACGGCAAACUUUGACCUCUAAGCCUCUCUGACCAUUGACCCUUCUCUGCCAUGAAACCUGUCUUGAAUUCCACUGAGGGGUUGACUAAGCCUGUAUCCUCCCCUUAGAAGGUAGAGUACCACAGACCUACACUCAGGUCUGUAGCACUGGCUGUCUGAUGGGUGUCUGAUUAAUGUUGGUGAAUCUGCAGCCACCCCUAUAUUCCUCCCCCAGCCCUCAUCCUACACCACCAUACUUCAAGAGGAUAUGUUUACAAACAGUGGGGUAGAGAUACACCAUGUUUAAAAGCAGGUGCCUGGUUAUCUCUGCCUUCAUAUAGCUUCAAAGAGACCCAAAAGGGGCUCAGAGGUGGGACUGUGCCUUAGAUGGUUGGACACAUCACGGGCCUUGGUAUUGCCAAUAAGGAGGAGGGUGCAUAGCACAGUACACCAUACGCAGCUGUAUUAUCUGAGGUGCAUAUUCUGAAAACAAAUUCAAACGUAAAACUGUUAAACACAGAAUACCAGUGGGAAGGAAUUAUACCUUCAUGGUUAAAUUAGCCAUUUCAAAAGCACUAAUGUAAGCUUCCUGCACUGUCAUGUCCCUUUUUUUAUUUUAUGUUUUACCAUUGCACACUUCUUUCCAAUCUCCCCCCCAAAAAGAAUGGGGCUUUGAGUAUUUUUUUCUCCAAAAAAAAGCAUUCCUGUGAAGAUUAAAAUGGAAGGUCCCAGGUGGCGGGUCCCCUGAACCAGCCCUCUAACAGCCUGAGUGACUCCUCAACAGACCCUCUACUACUUUGGCAUCAGCUGCUGAGCGGCAGUAGUAGUGGUAGUGGUAGUGGUAGUGGUAGAGGUAGUGGUAGUGGUAGUGGUAGUGGUAGAGGUAGUGGUAGUGGUAGAGGUAGUGGUAGUGGUAGAGGUAGUGGUAGUGGUAGAGGUAGUGGUAGUGGCAGUGGUAGUGGUAGAGGUAGUGGUAGUGGUAGAGGUAGUGGUAGUGGUAGUGGCAGUGGUAGUGGUAGAGGUAGUGGUAGUGGUAGUGGUAGUGGUAGAGGUAGUGGUAGUGGUAGUGGUAGAGGUAGAGGUAGUGGUAGUGGUAGUGGUAGUGGUAGAGGUAGUGGUAGUGGUAGUGGUAGUGGUAGAGGUAGUGGUAGAGGUAGUGGUAGUGGUAGUGGUAGAGGUAGUGGUAGUGGA
ensembl:lncRNA